ensembl:lncRNA
GUUGUUGGGGUUGGGGUUAAGAUUAAGGUUGGGGUUAAGGUUCAGUGGUUAAGAUUAAGGUUGGGGUUAACAUUCAGUGGUUAAGAUUAAGGUUGGGGUUAAGAUUAAGGUUCAGUGGUUAAGAUUAAGGUUGGGGUUAAGAUUAAGGGUUAGCAGUUUUUUAAUAAGAUUAUCGGGAUCAAUGUUCGAUUCAUUGUGCAGCCCUAAUGAGUGAUGACAUAAAUUCAUCCAUAAUGUAAUUGUAUAUGCGACGAUAAAGGCUUUCUAAUGUCCAAAUCAGCAUGAAAAUGCUUCGAUAGUCAACUGUUAAAAAUUAUGAACUGUAUUCUAUCACAUGGAUUAACACUGUUAUUAUUGAGGACUUUUUUUUUUUUUAUCUCAAUAAUACAGUCUGUGCUGCAACACUUACAUUUUUCCCGUCCUUUAGUGUCAGUACUUCACAGAUUGGCCACUAGAGGGAGGCAGAGCAUCAGACAUCAUCUUGAGCUUGGAUAGGGAGGAGACACCACGGUAGGACAUGGCUCAUUACUAAAUCUAACCCAAGCACAGAAAAGAGCUGGCAGGAAGAAGCAAGGAAAAAUAAACAAAACUCACAGAGCAUGAAAUCGCUACGGUAUUUACAGCCUUUAGCGGGUGGGCAUUUAGACCGGUGUCCUGCAGGACCAAGCCAACAAAUCAAACCCUCCACAGGAUAUGUAAACUUCAGGCUUCAUUACCAACACAUCGCUUAACCGGCUGUAUAACACCCAGGUCUCUACAUGUCCUGCCUUCAGGAUUUGAUCUGUGCCAAAAAAGAUUAGCCGUUGAUUUUAUUUAAGAGUCUUUAAAGGAAUCCCAACCAUGCCUUGUUUUUCAGGAGAAAAUCGCCUGGAGUUAAAGGACAGACAGGUGUUGACCCUUCACCCCUAAAACUUGACCUUGCACGUAUAGAUGAGAUAAACGGUGCCGAGUGGGUGGGGUCUAAUCCUCGUCACGCCGCCGGGGUCUGACAUACGAGUGAGACGAAUCAAAAAUGUAAAAACCAGUCGGACCGCUCGAGGUGCAUUCAGCCCUGAAGCAUGUUAAGCCCUUCUCGGUCGUUUAUACUCCCUAAAACCUGUGCAUGACUCACACGCACGCGCACACACCCAUGCUCGAAAGAUAUUACGCACUAACAAAGGAGCUUUUAAAAGCGUGUACUAUUAUUAACGCUGUACAAAUAUAUAAAACAAUUACCAUACAGAGGAAGUGGAUUAUCUCAAAUACUAGGUUCAUGAUGGACAGGUAGCAUGUGCUCACGUCCUGUAGUGUGCGUGUGUGUCCGAGUGUGUGUUUCAGAGUGGGGGUAAAAGUGGAAGGGGGUGGAGGGUCGGGGUUUUCUAGGUUCCAUCUGUUUCUUCGGACAUCCCGUUGACACUCUUUCCCUUUCCUGUGAACUGGUGUCUUUAUUCUCUCGACACGUUUCCAGGAAACGCGGCGGUACAGAAUCCCGACGCAGACGGACGGACGGGCGACGUUCUUCAAGCACCGCUUUCCACGCGGCUGAGGGAGGGUGCUUUUAUAUAGGAUCUCCGCUAGACUCGUAGUCGUAUAGUAAGCGAUCUUGAGAGUAGUGGUUGUUGUUCCCGUCAUCCCACCGAGCCCACGAAUUCGGUUUCUAUCCACUUUAUUAGGAACACCUGUACACCUAGACUUUCGUGCAAUUUCCCGAUCGGCAAUUAAUCCAAACAUCAGGAUAGGGGGAAAACAUUUGAUCUCAGUUCGUCUGACCGUGGAAGGCUGGUUUGAGUAUUUCAGAAACUGCUGAUCUGUGAUUUUCACACGACGGUCUCGCGAUCCAGUAAACGGCAGCUCUGUGGGCUGACGAGACAGGCCCGAGAAGAACGGCUAGACGGGUUUCGAAGCUGACCGGAAGUCUAUGAGGACUCAAAGAACCGCUCUUUGUGGUUGAAUCGCUUGGCAGCAGGGCCUCUGAUUUAUACGUCUGUACAGGGAGGAAUGGUAUGCAAAGCUGUAGAAUGCGAUAGCUGCAAUGCUGCGAUGAUUAUUUAUAAAGCGGAAUACGGUAUGUCGCUUUAAAAAUAUCUUGCGGCACGGUGACACGCGGGUAUGUUUCACAGGGACGUGACCGUCUUUGCGGAUAUGAGUGAAUGUUAACAGGUUUCCACGUGGACGUAAACUUCCUGGUGAUGGCACGAGUGCUAUAGCGACACAACGGCAUCACGUCCUCUCUCGCGGACGCCUCAGAGCUAAACGUCACGGCGCAGAGACGCACAGGACGGCUGGGUACGCUGAAGGUGCGGGAAGAAUCCGUCAGGAACAUCAGAAGGGAAAAGCGUCUUUCUGUCUGUCUGUCUGUCUACUGAUCUAUCCAUCUGUCGGUCUAUCCAUCGGUCUAUCCAUCUGUCUAUCUAUCUAUCCGUCUGUCUGUCUGUCUUAUCUAUCCGUCUGUCUGUCUGUGUAUCUAUCAGUUUAUCCAUCUUUCUAUCUAUCCAUCUGUCUAUCUAUCCAUCUGUCUGUCUAUCUAUC